GGUUAAGCGACUAAGCGUACACGGUGGAUGCCCUGGCAGUCAGAGGCGAUGAAGGGCGUGCUAAUCUGCGAUAAGCGCCGGUAAGGUGAUAUGAACCGUUAUAACCGGCGAUACCCGAAUGGGGAAACCCAGUGUGAUUCGUCACACUAUCAUUAACUGAAUCCAUAGGUUAAUGAGGCGAACCGGGGGAACUGAAACAUCUAAGUACCCCGAGGAAAAGAAAUCAACCGAGAUUCCCCCAGUAGCGGCGAGCGAACGGGGAGGAGCCCAGAGCCUGAAUCAGCAUGUGUGUUAGUGGAAGCGUCUGGAAAGGCGCGCGAUACAGGGUGACAGCCCCGUACACAAAAGCGCAUGUGCUGUGAGCUCGAUGAGUAGGGCGGGACACGUGGUAUCCUGUCUGAAUAUGGGGGGACCAUCCUCCAAGGCUAAAUACUCCUGACUGACCGAUAGUGAACCAGUACCGUGAGGGAAAGGCGAAAAGAACCCCGGCGAGGGGAGUGAAAAAGAACCUGAAACCGUGUACGUACAAGCAGUGGGAGCACAGGUUUACCUGUGUGACUGCGUACCUUUUGUAUAAUGGGUCAGCGACUUAUAUUCUGUAGCAAGGUUAACCGAAUAGGGGAGCCGGAGGGAAACCGAGUCUUAACCGGGCGUUAAGUUGCAGGGUAUAGACCCGAAACCCGGUGAUCUAGCCAUGGGCAGGUUGAAGGUUGGGUAACACUAACUGGAGGACCGAACCGACUAAUGUUGAAAAAUUAGCGGAUGACCUGUGGCUGGGGGUGAAAGGCCAAUCAAACCGGGAGAUAGCUGGUUCUCCCCGAAAGCUAUUUAGGUAGCGCCUCGUGAAUUCAUCUCCGGGGGUAGAGCACUGUUUCGGCUAGGGGGCCAUCCCGGCUUACCAACCCGAUGCAAACUGCGAAUACCGGAGAAUGUUAUCACGGGAGACACACGGCGGGUGCUAACGUCCGUCGUGAAGAGGGAAACAACCCAGACCGCCAGCUAAGGUCCCAAAGUCAUGGUUAAGUGGGAAACGAUGUGGGAAGGCCCAGACAGCCAGGAUGUUGGCUUAGAAGCAGCCAUCAUUUAAAGAAAGCGUAAUAGCUCACUGGUCGAGUCGGCCUGCGCGGAAGAUGUAACGGGGCUAAAUCAUGCACCGAAGCUGCGGCAGCGAACGUAUCACUUAAAGCGAUUCAGCGGGUUACGAUUGACGGAGCGAAGCGACGUCAAAGCGUAUACAAAGUCGAGUCGGUUUAAGGAUACGUUCGUUGGGUAGGGGAGCGUUCUGUAAGCCUGCGAAGGUGGCCUGUGAGGGUUGCUGGAGGUAUCAGAAGUGCGAAUGCUGACAUAAGUAACGAUAAAGCGGGUGAAAAGCCCGCUCGCCGGAAGACCAAGGGUUCCUGUCCAACGUUAAUCGGGGCAGGGUGAGUCGACCCCUAAGGCGAGGCCGAAAGGCGUAGUCGAUGGGAAACGGGUUAAUAUUCCCGUACUUGGUGUUACUGCGAAGGGGGGACGGAGAAGGCUAUGUUGGCCGGGCGACGGUUGUCCCGGUUUAAGCGUGUAGGUGUGUGUUCCAGGUAAAUCCGGUUCACUUUAACACUGAGGCGUGAUGACGAGGCACUACGGUGCUGAAGUAACAAAUGCCCUGCUUCCAGGAAAAGCCUCUAAGCAUCAGGUAACAUCAAAUCGUACCCCAAACCGACACAGGUGGUCAGGUAGAGAAUACCAAGGCGCUUGAGAGAACUCGGGUGAAGGAACUAGGCAAAAUGGUGCCGUAACUUCGGGAGAAGGCACGCUGACACGUAGGUGAAGUGAUUUACUCACGGAGCUGAAGUCAGUCGAAGAUACCAGCUGGCUGCAACUGUUUAUUAAAAACACAGCACUGUGCAAACACGAAAGUGGACGUAUACGGUGUGACGCCUGCCCGGUGCCGGAAGGUUAAUUGAUGGGGUCAGCGCAAGCGAAGCUCCUGAUCGAAGCCCCGGUAAACGGCGGCCGUAACUAUAACGGUCCUAAGGUAGCGAAAUUCCUUGUCGGGUAAGUUCCGACCUGCACGAAUGGCGUAAUGAUGGCCAGGCUGUCUCCACCCGAGACUCAGUGAAAUUGAACUCGCUGUGAAGAUGCAGUGUACCCGCGGCAAGACGGAAAGACCCCGUGAACCUUUACUAUAGCUUGACACUGAACAUUGAGCCUUGAUGUGUAGGAUAGGUGGGAGGCUUUGAAGUGUGGACGCCAGUCUGCAUGGAGCCGACCUUGAAAUACCACCCUUUAAUGUUUGAUGUUCUAACGUGGACCCGUUACCCGGGUUGCGGACAGUGUCUGGUGGGUAGUUUGACUGGGGCGGUCUCCUCCUAAAGAGUAACGGAGGAGCACGAAGGUUGGCUAAUCCUGGUCGGACAUCAGGAGGUUAGUGCAAUGGCAUAAGCCAGCUUGACUGCGAGCGUGACGGCGCGAGCAGGUGCGAAAGCAGGUCAUAGUGAUCCGGUGGUUCUGAAUGGAAGGGCCAUCGCUCAACGGAUAAAAGGUACUCCGGGGAUAACAGGCUGAUACCGCCCAAGAGUUCAUAUCGACGGCGGUGUUUGGCACCUCGAUGUCGGCUCAUCACAUCCUGGGGCUGAAGCAGGUCCCAAGGGUAUGGCUGUUCGCCAUUUAAAGUGGUACGCGAGCUGGGUUUAGAACGUCGUGAGACAGUUCGGUCCCUAUCUGCCGUGGGCGCUGGAGAACUGAGGGGGGCUGCUCCUAGUACGAGAGGACCGGAGUGGACGCAUCACUGGUGUUCGGGUUGUCAUGCCAAUGGCACUGCCCGGUAGCUAAAUGCGGAAGAGAUAAGUGCUGAAAGCAUCUAAGCACGAAACUUGCCCCGAGAUGAGUUCUCCCUGAGACUUAGAGUCUCCUGAAGGAACGUUGAAGACGACGACGUUGAUAGGCCGGGUGUGUAAGCGCAGCGAUGCGUUGAGCUAACCGGUACUAAUGAACCGUGAGGCUUAACCUU
rnacentral:rRNA from 1 species